GACGAACGCUGGCGGCGUGCCUAAUACAUGCAAGUCGAGCGGACUUUCAUUGGUGCUUGCACCUUUGAAAGUUAGCGGCGGACGGGUGAGUAACACGUGGGUAACCUACCCUGUAGAUUGGGAUAACUCCGGGAAACCGGGGCUAAUACCGAAUAACACUUCUGAACUCAUGUUCGGAAGUUAAAAGAUGGUUUCGGCUAUCACUACAGGAUGGGCCCGCGGCGCAUUAGCUAGUUGGUGAGGUAACGGCUCACCAAGGCAACGAUGCGUAGCCGACCUGAGAGGGUGAUCGGCCACACUGGGACUGAGACACGGCCCAGACUCCUACGGGAGGCAGCAGUAGGGAAUCUUCCACAAUGGACGAAAGUCUGAUGGAGCAACGCCGCGUGAGUGAAGAAGGAUUUCGGUUCGUAAAACUCUGUUGCAAGGGAAGAACAAGUAGCGUAGUAACUGGCGCUACCUUGACGGUACCUUGUUAGAAAGCCACGGCUAACUACGUGCCAGCAGCCGCCGUAACAC
rnacentral:rRNA from 1 species